UAGAUUUUCUGUUACAAAAAUACAAGUAUAGAUUUUCCUCUAUGUGGAAAAACAUAAAUAUUACAUUUUCUGAGUUUUAUGUAUUCAUUGAACAAAUAUUAACUGAGUGCUUCUAAGUACAGGAAAUCAAGGUGAAUAAGACAGAGAAGGUCCAUUUUACCUGCUUUAGAACCUAUUACUGUUGCCUCAGUGAUCAUCAUUGCCAUUAUAUUUUUUAAAUUGUAUUGUCAUGUAGAUAACAUGGAAUACUCAUUUAUGUGACUGUAACAUAGGCCUCUUGAAACUUUUGGUGGGAA
rnacentral:lncRNA from 10 species